rnacentral:rRNA from 1 species
GACGAACGCUGGCGGCGUGCUUAACACAUGCAAGUCGAGCGGUAAGGCUCCUUCGGGAGUACACGAGCGGCGAACGGGUGAGUAACACGUGAGUAAUCUGCCCUUCACUUCGGGAUAACCGCCGGAAACGGUGGCUAAUACCGAAUACGACGCGCUCUCGCAUGAGAUGCGCGUGGAAAGUCUUAUCGGUGAAGGAUGUGCUCGCGGCCUAUCAGCUUGUUGGNGAGGUAC